AUUCCCCUAGUAACUGCGAGUGAAGCGGGAAAAGCUCAAAUUUAAAAUCUGGUGGCUUUGGUCAUCCGAGUUGUAAUUUAGAGAAGCGUCUUCCGCGCUGGACCGUGCACAAGUCUCCUGGAAUGGAGCGUCAUAGAGGGUGAGAAUCCCGUCUUUGGCACGGACGCACCAGGGCUUCUGUGAUGCGCUCUCGAAGAGUCGAGUUGUUUGGGAAUGCAGCUCAAAAUGGGUGGUGAACUCCAUCUAAAGCUAAAUAUUGGCGAGAGACCGAUAGCGAACAAGUACCGUGAGGGAAAGAUGAAAAGCACUUUGGAAAGAGAGUGAAACAGUACGUGAAAUUGUUGAAAGGGAAACGCUUGAAGUCAGUCGCGUCGACCGAGACUCAGCCUUGCCUCGGCUUGGUGUACUUCUCGGCUGACGGGUCAGCAUCAAUUUUGCCCCUCGGAUAAUGGCGAGGGAAAUGUGGCACCUUUGCGGGUGUGUUAUAGUCCUUUGUCGCAUGCGAGGGUUGGGAUUGAGGAACUCAGCACGCACCUUUAUGGUGUCGGGGCUCUGCCCACGAUACGUGCUUAGGAUGUUGGCGUAAUGGCUUUAAACGACCCGUCUUGAAACACGGACCAAGGAGUCCAACACGCCCGCGAGUGUUCGGGUGGAAAACCCGUGCGCGCAAUGAAAGUGAAAGUUGGGACCUCUGUCGUGGAGGGCACCGACGCCCGGACCAGACCUUCUGUGACGGAUCUGCGGUGGAGCGUGUGUGUUGGGACCCGAAAGAUGGUGAACUAUGCCUGAAUAGGGUGAAGCCAGAGGAAACUCUGGUGGAGGCUCGUAGCGAUUCUGACGUGCAAAUCGAUCGUCAAAUUUGGGUAUAGGGGCGAAAGAC
rnacentral:rRNA from 1 species